rnacentral:rRNA from 1 species
UACGGGGGGCAGCAGUGGGGAAUAUUGGACAAUGGGCGAAAGCCUGAUCCAGCAAUGCCGCGUGGGUGAAGAAGGUCUUCGGAUUGUAAAGCCCUUUCGGCGGGGACGAUGAUGACGGUACCCGCAGAAGAAGCCCCGGCUAACUUCGUGCCAGCAGCCGCGGUAAUACGAAGGGGGCUAGCGUUGCUCGGAUUGACUGGGCGUAAAGGGCGCGUAGGCGGUCUGUACAGUCAGACGUGAAAUUCCUGGGCUCAACCUGGGGGCUGCGUUUGAUACGUGCAGACUCGAGUCCGGAAGAGGGUCGUGGAAUUCCCAGUGUAGAGGUGAAAUUCGUAGAUAUUGGGAAGAACACCGGUGGCGAAGGCGGCGACCUGGUCCGGAACUGACGCUGAGGCGCGAAAGCGUGGGGAGCAAACAGGAUUAGAUACCCCAGUAGUCAUCUUCUAGA